CGAGGUGUAGCGAAGUUUGGUCAUCGCACUUGGUUUGGGACCAAGGGACCGGGGGUUCGAAUCCCUUCACCUCGACCA
rnacentral:tRNA from 1 species